rnacentral:rRNA from 1 species
AGUGAACGCUGGCGGUAGGCCUAACACAUGCAAGUCGAACGGCAGCACAGUAAGAGCUUGCUCUUACGGGUGGCGAGUGGCGGACGGGUGAGGAAUACAUCGGAAUCUACUUUUUCGUGGGGGAUAACGUAGGGAAACUUACGCUAAUACCGCAUACGACCUACGGGUGAAAGCAGGGGAUCUUCGGACCUUGCGCGAUUGAAUGAGCCGAUGUCGGAUUAGCUAGUUGGCGGGGUAAAGGCCCACCAAGGCGACGAUCCGUAGCUGGUCUGAGAGGAUGAUCAGCCACACUGGAACUGAGACACGGUCCAGACUCCUACGGGAGGCAGCAGUGGGGAAUAUUGGACAAUGGGCGCAAGCCUGAUCCAGCCAUACCGCGUGGGAGAAGAAGGCCUUCGGGUUGUAAAGCCCCUUUGUUGGGAAAGAAAAGCAGCAGGUUAAUACCCCGCUGUUCUGACGGUACCCAAAGAAUAAGCACCGGCUAACUUCGUG